rnacentral:rRNA from 1 species
CCAAUAGCGUAUAUUAAAGUUGUUGCAGUUAAAAAGCUCGUAGUUGAAUUUCGGGGUUCUACCGUUGGUCGGGCUAUAGUCUGUACUGGCGUGUGGAAUUUCUACCUUCCGGGGAACUAUCAUGUUAUUAAUUUAGCGUGGUAGGAAACCAGAACCUUUACCUUGAAAAAAUUAGAGUGUUCAAAGCAGGCUUACGUCUGAAUACAUUAGCAUGGAAUAAUAAAAUAGGACGGUGGUCCUGUUUUGUUGGUUUCUGAAUCACCGUAAUGAUUAAUAGGGAUAGUUGGGGGCAUUAGUAUUCAAUUGUCAGAGGUGAAAUUCUUGGAUUUAUUGAAGACUAACUUCUGCGAAAGCAUUUGCCAAGGAUGUUUUCAUUAAUCAAGAACGAAAGUUAGGUGAUCGAAGACGAUCAGAGACCGUCGUAGUCUUAACCAUAAACUAUGCCGACUAGGAAUCGGACGAUGUUAAUUUUUCUUGACUCGUUCGGCGCCUUACG